rnacentral:rRNA from 1 species
GACGAACGCUGGCGGCGUGCUUAACACAUGCAAGUCGAACGGAAAGGCCCUGCUUGCAGGGUGCUCGAGUGGCGAACGGGUGAGUAACACGUGGGUGAUCUGCCCCUUACUUUGGGAUAAGCCUGGGAAACUGGGUCUAAUACUGGAUAGGACCAUGCUGUAGGUGGUGUGGUGGAAAGAUUAGUUUCGGUAAGGGAUGAGCUCGCGGCCUAUCAGCUUGUUGGUGGGGUAAUGGCCUACCAAGGCGUCGACGGGUAGCCGGCCUGAGAGGGUGGACGGCCACAUUGGGACUGAGAUACGGCCCAGACUCCUACGGGAGGCAGCAGUGGGGAAUAUUGCACAAUGGGCGCAAGCCUGAUGCAGCGACGCCGCGUGGGGGAUGACGGCCUUCGGGUUGUAAACUCCUUUCAGCCAUGGCGAAGCCCUUGUGGUGACGGUAGUGGUAGAAGAAGCACCGGCUAACUACGUG